GAAAGGGGGACUAAUACCGGAUAUAUUCAUUACUGCCGGGUAAUGAAUGAAAGGUGGCCUCUGAUUCAAGCUAUCGCAACAGGAGGAGUCUGCGUACCAUUAGCUAGUUGGUGAGGUAACGGCUUACCAAGGCGACGAUGGUUAGCGGGUCUGAGAGGAUGAUCCGUCACACUGGCACUGAAACACGGGCCAGACUCCUACGGGAGGCAGCAGUGAGGAAUAUUGCGCAAUGGGGGAAACCCUGACGCAGCGACGCCGCGUGAGUGAGGAAGGCCUUCGGGUCGUAAAGCUCUGUCAGAAGGGAAGAAGUGCGUAUACGUUAAUACCGUAUACGUUUGACGGUACCUUCAAAGGAAGCACCGGCUAACUCCGUGCCAGCAGCCGCGGUAAUACGGANGGUGCGAGCGUUGUUCGGAAUCACUGGGCGUAAAGGGCGCGCAGGCGGUUUUACUAGUCAGAUGUGAAAGCCCACGGCUUAACUGUGGANGUGCAUUUGAAACUGUUAAGACUUGAGUACCAGA
rnacentral:rRNA from 1 species